GGUAUAAUGCUAUUAUAUUAUGAACAACUAAUCUGAUUUUAUUUGGAGGUCAGUGUAUGUUGAUCUGCUGCAGUAUUUGCUAUCGCCAGUAGAUGGCAGAGUAGAUUUUCUUUACUACUUUUCAAUUGAAAACUUGUAUUAUACAAAUGAAUAAGGAAAUGACUAAACUAGUGAUAAUAAAAUACUGUGUUCAUAGGAAUUACACAUCUGUUAACAUCCAGAACGCUAUUUCAUAUAUCUUAGGAUGUCAACCAUUAACUGUAUCAUAAAACAUGAGCACACAUGAGCACUGCUUCCAUUUUUAACCUAAGGAGUAGUAUAACCCCCCACCAAAAGGGGGCGCACUAUGCGUUUUAGCAAAUGGAACCCCCCACGAACAAGAAGCCCUUUUCUCCUAGGAUUUCUUCAUGAUACCUGAAGGUCCCGGAUUUCGACGUCCAACUUGAGAGUGUCAACGGAAGUGAUUCCAUAGUUAUCUGCUACUGAAAACUCAGAAGAACCUGAAUCUGAAUGAUGAGAUGGCGCACUUACCCCAGAUCGUGGAUACGGUGUGGCCAACCGUGUAAUCCAGAUCGAACCUGAUUCGUGUAUCGAGAAGACAUCAUACCCCAGUCCUGCCCGUCACGUAGACGGGUAGUACUGAGUAUAGAGACCUAAAGACCCGGACCAGAACGGAACCAUUGAAUCCUCAAGCACACACACUAUUCAAGGACUGUACGGACGAUAUCCAGGGAACUGUACAUAUACACACUGACAGGACUGAAUUAUUUACAAGAUUUAUAUAAUAUUUACUGUUUCUAUUUUGUGCUGUUUAAUACUGUUUUAUACUUUAUAUUGUGAUUGUUCGGUGACUGUUUGUGAAACAAUAAACUGGUCAUUUGUUAAACUUGUU